rnacentral:rRNA from 1 species
UACGUAGGGGGCAAGCGUUAUCCGGAUUUACUGGGUGUAAAGGGAGCGUAGGUGGCAUGGCAAGUCAGAUGUGAAAACCCAGGGCUCAACCCUGGGACUGCAUUUGAAACUGUCAGGCUGGAGUGCAGGAGAGGUAAGUGGAAUUCCUAGUGUAGCGGUGAAAUGCGUAGAUAUUAGGAGGAACACCAGUGACGAAGGCGGCUUACUGGACUGUAACUGACACUGAGGCUCGAAAGCGUGGGGAGCAAACAGG